rnacentral:rRNA from 1 species
CCUGGCUCAGGAUGAACGCUAGCUACAGGCUUAACACAUGCAAGUCGAGGGGCAGCAUGGUCUUAGCUUGCUAAGGCCGAUGGCGACCGGCGCACGGGUGAGUAACACGUAUCCAACCUGCCGUCUACUCUUGGACAGCCUUCUGAAAGGAAGAUUAAUACAAGAUGGCAUCAUGAGUCCGCAUGUUCACAUGAUUAAAGGUAUUCCGGUAGACGAUGGGGAUGCGUUCCAUUAGAUAGUAGGCGGGGUAACGGCCCACCUAGUCUUCGAUGGAUAGGGGUUCUGAGAGGAAGGUCCCCCACAUUGGAACUGAGACACGGUCCAAACUCCUACGGGAGGCAGCAGUGAGGAAUAUUGAUCAAUGGGCGAGAGCCUGAACCAUCCAAGUAGCGUGAAGGAUGACUGCCCUAUGGGUUGUAAACUUCUUUUAUAAAGGAAUACAGUCGGGUAUGCCUACCCGUUUGCAUGUACUUUAUGAUUGAGGAUCGGCUAACUCCGUGCCAGCAGCCGCGGUAAUACCGAGGAUCCGAGCGUUAUCCGGAUUUAUUGGGUUUAAAGGGAGCGUAGAUGGAUGUUUAAGUCAGUUGUGAAAGUUUGCGGCUCAACCGUAAAAUUGCAGUAGAUACUGGAUAUCUUGAGUGCAGUUGAGGCAGGCGGAAUUCGUGGUGUAGCGGUGAAAUGCUUAGAUAUCACGAAGAACUCCGAUUGCGAAGGCAGCCUGCUAAGCUGCAACUGACAUGAGGGCUCGAAAGUGUGGGUAUCAAACAGGAUUAGAUACCCUGGUAGUCCACACGGUAAACGAUGAAUACUCGCUGUUUGCGAUAUACAGCAAGCGGCCAAGCGAAAGCGUUAAGUAUUCCACCUGGGGAGUACGCCGGCAACGGUGAAACUCAAAGGAAUUGACGGGGGCCCGCACAAGCGGAGGAACAUGUGGUUUAAUUCGAUGAUACGCGAGGAACCUUACCCGGGCUUAAAUUGCAGAUGAAUUACGGUGAAAGCCGUAAGCCGCAAGGCAUCUGUGAAGGUGCUGCAUGGUUGUCGUCAGCUCGUGCCGUGAGGUGUCGGCUUAAGUGCCAUAACGAGCGCAACCCUUGUUGUCAGUUACUAACAGGUUCCGCUGAGGACUCUGACAAGACUGCCAUCGUAAGAUGUGAGGAAGGUGGGGAUGACGUCAAAUCAGCACGGCCCUUACGUCCGGGGCUACACACGUGUUACAAUGGGGGGUACAGAGGGCCGCUACCACGCGAGUGGAUGCCAAUCCCCAAAACCUCUCUCAGUUCGGACUGGAGUCUGCAACCCGACUCCACGAAGCUGGAUUCGCUAGUAAUCGCGCAUCAGCCACGGCGCGGUGAAUACGUUCCCGGGCCUUGUACACACCGCCC